CGUGAUGAUAAUUCUACUACUAACAUAGCCCGUUUUAACUAUCAACAUUUAAGUCAUUGAAGUGUUUGUGUUCAAAUAAGUUUCAAUUUUGAGAAAACACCAGAUAGAUAAAAAAAUGUAUAUCAAUCAACAAAGAAAACUUUACACUAAUUACUUUAUAAAUUUCCACCAGGAAAUGGGAGAAACAAUUCUUUCUUUUUGGGAUAGAUUAAUUACGUCUCAUCGAAAAUUAUUAUUAAUUAUUAAAGACGAUGUUAAACCAGAUAUUUUUAACCCAAAUAUUUUUGUGUUGAAUGUAUUUAUAAAAGGGUUAAAACAAGAUCACAUCAGAGAAGCUAUCAAGUCCAGUGGCACAAAACAUUUAUCAAUAGCGUUACAGAUCGCUUUAGAUUUAAUAAUAUUAAAUAAAUAAUCCAUUUAAAUUUUA